CCCUCAGAGCAUCCGGGGUAUACGUGAUUUAAUACAUUUCUCCCCAAGCCUCACCUUCCCCCCAAAUCCCGGAAGCCUAAAAGAGAGCGAAUCCCCAUCGCUGUUUCAGUCUUUUCCCAAGGAAAUAACCAAUUAGAAAGGAGCCUAUUUUACUUAGCCGCGCCCCUCUCGGGAGGCUCUCGUCGCUCGCUGAUGACGCAUACGCCCUUGCCAUUUGAUAACGAGUCCUCCCGCGUGACUUCGUUCCAGCCAAUCAUUAGUCCGGCUCCAAGCCAGCCUUCCCGCCUUUGGGAAAUAAUCCGAGUGCGGAAGUCUGGAACAAGGGAGCUGCCGCGCGGAGCCCAGCAGCUUCCUUCUUCGACCCCGGGUGUUGUGCCGAGGUGAAGAAAAGGGCGGCGUGGCAGUGGCUUACCUAUGGUACUAAGUACAGAGCCUCCGACCCCCGUGCAGCCUUGUCGGGACCAGGGUUGAGGCCCCAGAAAUUCCCAGCCCACAUCCUAAGCGAAACAGAAAAUGGAGCCUCAAAGCAAUCGAGUGACUUGUUCCCAGGAUACCCAUGGUACAGCCAGAUCUGGCACCAGGGCCUGCAGCUGCUGCCCAUACCCCAGUCAAGUCCAGAUCAAUAACGGUCCGCCACCAGCCACUGAGCCACACCGCCUGGGCCAACAGCAGCAGGAGGGCCAGAGAGGGACGGGGUGGCUGCACUGGCCCGGCCUCAUUGUAGCCCCACGAGCUCAGUGAUAGGUGGGGCCUGCACCAUGAAUUCCUCAUAGCAACGGAGAAACAGCCGGAAGCGAGCCAGGUACGAGUCCUCGUUGUACGGUAGCUGCUUCUCACGGAGGAACUGGGACACCACGGGCUUCACCUGGUGGAAAAUGGGCAGGAGAGGGGCCUAUGAGCUGGGGCUGUGGGCAGGCCCAUCGUCCUAUGGUGGGUGGCAGUGGGCAUCAUCUUCCCACCCGCAGCUCCUAUCGGCCUUGUUCCAAGAUUCUCCGGAGGAGUAGAACGCCUUAAGUCAGAGAAUUCUUGUCCCCAACCCAGCAGAAGAAAGGAGUGGCUUCUCUCCAACAUCCAGGGAUCCUGACUGCGUGACAGCCCUCCUUGGCACAGGGGGAUAAAAACCAGAGCUCCCUUUUACCAAGCCCCUACAGGCGCCCGCCACCUCGCCCAGCUAGUUUUUAUGUAUUUUUUAGUAGAGACGGGGUUUCACCGUGUUCGCCAGGAUGGUCUUGAUCUCCUGACCUCAUGAUCCGCCCAUCUUGUCCUCCCAAAGUGCUGGGAUUACAGGCUUGAGCCACCGCGCCCAGCCCCAAAUCUAUAAUUAUUUUCAAAAUAAAAAGCUUUUUACAAAAGUAUAUUUUUGUACUGCAAAUCUGAGUUUUCCCUCCAAAUAAAUAUUAAAGAUUAAAAAAAUAA